AAGCCGACCCGAAAGCCGGCCUGGACGCACCCCCCUCGCUGCUCCUCCGGUGCUGGGGGAUCUGAAGAGGGGCAGGCGGCCGGGCAGCGCCUCCGGGUCUCUGCGAGCUGGGAAGAGCCAGGGACCGAAUGGCCUUCGGCCGCUGCCCUCGGAGGCCGCUUCUUGCCCCUCGUCCCCUGGGGCGAGCCACUGGGGCGUAGUGGGCGUGGCAGUGGGCAGCCACGUUCAGGGUCGAGGUCUGAGCCGGAAAUGGUGACUCGGGCCUCGGGACCUUUCUGAACUGCGGGAGCCGAUGUGCUUAGGCUGGACACUGGCUGGGAGGAGGCCUCCGAGCCCCAUUAUUUCCCCGGGGUGGGUGACUGUUAGGGGCGGGUGUCAGCACAGCGAGAAGAGCUCUCCCAAGCAGGGGUCCACCUCUGCCGACCUUGUCCGCGGCCAAAAGAAACAGCAGCACAGUUGCCCACCACGAAACCAAGUGCCCGGCACACGAUCUCCGUGUUUACAUUUGUUCGCCAGCACGUGGGCAUGCGUUGGCAAAACCGAUUGGCCCGGCUCGCGGCAAACUCAAACGCAAUUUUAAAAAAUUUCCCUAGUGCUUCGUUAAACUGAUUUAAUCUGUCCCUUAAUGCACUUACACGUUUCUUCCAGUUUUCUUUUUUCUUUCUUUGUUUAUUUAUUUUUUUUUUUUUUUCUGAGACGGGGUCUUGCUCUGUCACCCAGGCUGGAGUGCAGUGGCACGAUCUCGGCUCACUACAACCUGCAACCUCCGCCUUUAGAGUUCAAGCGAUUCUCAUGCCUCAGCCACCCGAGUAGCUGGGAUUACAGGCGGCUGCCACCACACCUGGCUAAUUUUUGUAUUUUUAGUAGAGACGAACUUCCCAAUGUUGGCCAGGCUGGUCUCCAACUCCUGAUCUCAAGUGAUCCGCCCGCCUCGGCCUCUCAAAGUGCUGGAAUUACAGACGUGAACCACCGCUCCCGGCCUCUUCCAGUUUUCUGUUGUAAACAACCCCGUGGUGUAUAUGCUUCCUUCUCCAUGUUUUUUGUUUGGUUUGGUUUUUUUCGACACGGAGUCUCGCUCUGUCGCCCCAGGCUGGAGUGCAGUGGCGCGAUCUCGGCUCACUGCAGCCCCCACCUCCCGGGUUCUCGGGUUCCAGCGAUUCUCCUGUCUCCCGGGUAGCUGGUAUUACAAGCACAUACCAGGCCUGGCCAAUUUUUGUAUUUUUACAAAAUGCAAAAUACGGAGUUUCACCAUGUUGGCAGGCUGGUCUCAAACUCCUGACCUCAGGUGAUCUGCCCGCCUCGGCCUCCCAAAGUGCUAGGAUUACAGGCGUGAGCCACCGCGCCUGGCCUUUUUAAAAUACUCUUUUGGAUACCUCCCUGGAGUUAGAAUUCCUCAGUCAAAGGAUAUAAACUGGCAAACUCCCCCUCCAGAAACACAAUACAUUCUCACUAGCAGUGGAUUAGAGCACACUCUGUGAAUUCAGGACAUCAGUGGAUGUUCGUUGAUGUGGUUUUGUUGUUUUGAUUCAUAUUGUUGAACAGUUGUCAUGGGUUUAAUGAUAAUUUACAUUUAUCUCUAUUGCCUAUUUUUCUUAUUGUUAGCACUUUAUGCAUAUUAACACUUUGUCAUAUAUGUUGUUCUAAUGCUUUUCAAAGGCUAAAUAAACUCAAGCUGAAUUUUUCUUGAAACACACGGUAGUACUUAACACAUCAAAUCGGGAAUUUCCUGAGAUCACACAACUGAAGACACAGUGAAGGAUCAACAGCUGUCUUUUCUCCUAACAUUUGCUAACUGGUGUAUAAAUGUGUUUUUUAUAUGGUCAUGCAAACUUAAUUUUAAGCUCUUGGAGGACAAGAAUUCUAGACUUGUAUAAGGAGAGUUAGUCAAUGAUCCACAGUGGCCAAAGCCAAGGAGUGAUUUUCAGAACCCUUGCUCCAACACUUCCCCUCCUGCCACUCCUUUUUUUUAAAUUUUUAUUUUUCGAGACAGGGUCUCACUCUGUCCACCCUGUCUCAAAGUGGAGUACAGUGGUGCAAUCACGGCUCUGUAGCCUCGAUCUCCCCAGGCUCAAGAGAUCCUCCCACCUCACCCUCCCAAAUAGCUGGGACUAAUGAUGUGUGCUACCACGCCCAGCUAAUAUUUGCAUUUUUAGUAGAGACUCUGUUUCACCAUGUUGCCCAGGCUGGUCUAGAACUCCUGGGCUCAAGCAAUCUGCCCGUCUCCGUCUCCCAAAGUGCUGGAAUUACAGGCAUGAGCCACCAUAUUGCCCAGGCUGUGGGCCCCCUCCUGCCACUCCUGAUGACAAAUAUAAUUAUUUGAUAUAAUUGACAUUUUCUCAAUUUAUUAUGAAGCAUAAAUAAAAAUAGAGAACCCUACUUUUAUCGAUCUGUAACAUAAACUGCAUGUGAAAAUAGUGUGCUUUCUAAGUAAAUGGGACUUUAAAGCCCUUUAGUUGCCUCUCCACAACUAGACUGAUGCUCCUAAACUCCUCCUAUGUAAGAAUUCCGUAUCUCUGUUCUCACGUCCCCUCCCUCACUCUUUGCUCUUUCACAACACCUGGCUUUAUUUCCUUAGCAGGCUUAUUUCUAUCUCAAAGUACGUUGUUAGUUUAUUACUAUCUCCUUCUAGAAAAAUAAGGUCCCCGAGGGUAGGGGACCCUUGUUUAUUGCAGUAUUCUAACGUGGAUUAGGCGUUCACUCCCUUGUGAGUGAUAAAAGAGCCCUUAUUUAAAUAAUUGUUGGUUUAUUCGCUUCCUAAAUUGGCACAUUUGCAGAUAAGUUUGCCUAUUUAAGAUUUUGAAUCGGGUGUGGUAGUUGUUCACACCUGCAAUCCCAACACUUUGGGAGGUCAAGACAGGAGGAUCACUUGAGGCCAGGAGUUCAAGACCAGCCUGGACAACAUAGUGAGACCUCACCUCUACUAAAAAUUUAAAAAUUAGCUGGGCAUGGUGUCACAUGCCUGUGGUCCCAGCUACUCAGGAGGCUGAAGUGGGAGGAUCCCUUGAGCCUGAGAGAUGAAGGCUGCAGUGAGCUGUGAUUGUGCCACUGCACUCCAGCCUAGGCAGCAGACCGAGAACUAUCUCAGGAAAAAAAAAAAAAAAUUGAACAGAGAUCACCACUCUAGUACUCUAUUUAAUGCAAGAUUGUAGAGGUAGCAGCCAUCACACUUCCUAUUUUUCCCCAUGGUUUUUCCCCACUCCAGUAACAAAAACUUAAAUGGUACAAAAUUCUCCCACCUAUCCCUUCAAAUCCCAGCCCAGUUCCCCUUCCUGAAGGUAAACACUCUUAACAAUGUUUUGUUUUGUUUUGUCAACUCCUACUUUGCCACCUGUCUGCGUCCCUAAAUGGGAGGUCUUUGAAGUAGGCUAAGGCAGGCAGAAGGGCUUGGGUUGUGGAUGGGAAGGGAAGAGUUCUUGGUCCACAGACCCAGGACUUUGAAGUCCUCACACAGAAUCGAAGAGGUAAGUUCACAAUAAAUGUGUAGAAUGAUUGGGGGAAAUAAUUUUUUUUUUUUUUUUCCUUGAGACAAGGGUUUGCUCUAUUGCCCAGGCUGGAGUGCAGUGGUGCGUUCACGGCUCACUGCAACCUCCCCUUCUGGGCUCAAGCAAUUCUCCCACCUCAGCCUCUUGAGUAGCCAGGACUACAGGCAAGUGCCACUACACCUGGUGAAUUUUUGUAUUUUUUGUAGAGACCGGGUCUCACCAUGUUGCCCAGGCUGGUCUUGAACUCCUGAGCUCAAGUGAUCUGCCUACCUCAGCCUCUCACAGGGUUGGGAUUACAGGUGUGAGCCACUGCACCUGGCUGAAGGAAUUUUUUUUUUAAGUUGAAACCAAGACUCAGUGCUAGAGCCAUUUCCUCUGUGAAGCCUUUCCUGACUCUCCAUUCCCUACUCCAGACUUUCCACCGCACCCAGCACGGACUAUGUAACACUCUUACUUUGUUUACUUGUCUGGUUUUCACACUGCCCAGGGCAGGGUCCAAACUGUGUUUGUCUUCAGAGCUCCAGCAACCAGCACUGUGCCUUGGCCCCUGAGAAAGUGCUUAAUAAAUGUUUCUAGAAUAAUUUAAUGAAAAUCCAGUGAUCUUUAAAACAAAAGUGCCAAAAUAACAAAACAAAACAAAAGUGAGAAACCCAGGCCCUGCCUCUUCAAGCUGAGAACAUGGCACAAUAUUAUGGUUUAACUGUAGCAACAUCCUAACUGAAAUUUUAAGUGACUGUUCUGAUUUUUAAAAUUUCACGCUCCUCUGAGUAAAGCACACACUGUACUGGAGAGAUGGGUUACACCCGCCUGCCCCAGGCCGUAUCUAAUUCAAAUUUCCAGUUCCUUUCUCCACCCAAUGUUGUUUCUAACUAAUGUUGCUAGGCAACUUUUGCAGAAUCCACAUGCUUGUGGUAAUGUUGAAAGAACUGAGUAAAAAUCUUGCCUCUAGCUUCUGGGAUAACAAACCUAACCUGUUUAUCCUCUUUAGAUUCAUGACUUCGCACGUAAAGGGCUUUAAAACUAUUUUCAACCCAUUCACCUUCCUUGGCAACAAAACAAGCAAGAUUCUUCCCAUGAAGAUUUAAAACUGAGAUUUCUAAAUCACCUUCUCAAGUAUUUUUAAUACAUAUAGCACAUGAAUAUGCAUGCAUAUUCCUAUUAACAUGAGCCUUGCACUUUGAAUGAAAUCCUUCAGAACUAGGAACUAACUUUUCUCAGUGAUGCAAAGCCUUUAGGAAUGUUUCGUUAAGACUAGUCAGCCGUUAGCGAAAGCUGAAUCUUUUCUAUUAAUAUGCUCUUUAUUCUGGAGAAAUAAUCAGUUUCUCUAAGGACCCUACUCUGAUAGAUUUCUAACUUUAAAAAAAAGACACAUUAGUCAAAUGUCAGUUUUUCACUUAAAAGACAAAUAAUACGCUUAAAGAGUUCAACUUUCUUCACCUUCCUUGUUAUCUUUACCUUUCUCCUUAUGCUUGUUCUCACAGCAAGUCUCAAUUUAUUUCAACCCAGCUCUGUUACCAGCUGCCUAUUGGCCUCAGGAAUACAAAUCUCAGGCUAGAACGUGGUAGCUCCUAGAUUGCUCCUGUUUGACUUCCCAGCUAUAAAUUAGAUUUCUCUACUUCAUCACGUGCCUUAAUAACCUCUGAUGGAUGUGAUUAUUUGACCAUUUCACCGCAUGUUCAUCAGCAUACCCUGAGAGUACAGUACCGUCAAACUCAAUUCUUCUCUAAUUGUUCAGUGUUUUUGUUUUUGUUUUUGUUUUGAGACGGAGUCUCGCUCUGUCGCCCAGGCUGGAGUGCAGUGGCACGAGCUCAGCUCACUGCAAGCUCCGCCUCCCAGGUUCACGCCAUUCUCCUGCCUCAGCCUCCCGAGUAGCUGGGACUACAGGGGCCCGCCACCAUCCCUGGCUAAUUUUUUGUAUUUUUAGUAGAGACAGGGUUUCACCGUGUUAGCCAGGAUGGUCUCAAUCUCCUGACCUCGUGAUCCGCCCGCCUCGGC
rnacentral:lncRNA from 1 species